rnacentral:rRNA from 1 species
UACAGAGGGGGCAAGCGUUGUUCGGAAUUACUGGGCGUAAAGGGCGCGUAGGCGGCCUGCUAAGUCGAACGUGAAAUCCCCGAGCUCAACUCGGGAACUGCGUCCGAUACUGGUUGGCUUGAAUCCGGGAGAGGGAUGCGGAAUUCCAGGUGUAGCGGUGAAAUGCGUAGAUAUCAGGAGGAACACCGGUGGCGAAGGCGGGUCUCUGGGCCGUAACUGACGCUGAGGGGCGAAAAGCGUGGGGAGCGAACAGG